rnacentral:lncRNA from 1 species
AUGGUUUAUAUGGCUUCUUUGCAUUUGUCUGCCCCUUCACUAACAUUCAAAAGGUUGAUGCUAAUUAAUAUGUCUUUUUCUAAUUAAUAUGACUUCUAAAAUAUGUCAUGUCCGUUUUUUUUUUCUUUUUCUGAAAAAUGGAUGUGGCUUUGCAUAUAACAAUUCUAUUAUGACAUAUAAUGCACAUAAUUUCUUUAACAACAAAAAAAGUGCUUAUA